UAAAGUUCUUAUUUCAUUUCCCUCCAUUCCCUUUUCCGUCGAUUUCUCAUUAAUGCUUUUUAACUUUAAAAAAUCCAACAGCACCUUCACAUAUAUCAGCCAUGGCAUCUCAAGACCAACACCCUUAAACCAAUCAACAAUCUAGGGUGCGCCUCUGACACCAUUGAGAUGCGAUUUCUAUUAACUUUCAUUGAAGAGGUGGAGGACGAGGAACCAACGAUGUUGGUGAGGAAGGGUUUAAUCUCCACGAUGAGUCCUCAUCCUUUUGAAAGGGAGUAAAUCUGGAUCAUUUCACAUUGUUCAGGGCCAAAUUAGCCUUUUUCUCUUCUAAAAAGUACUCAUGUAAUGGAAAGCUUCUGCUGUUACUGAAUAAGGGUAUAUUUGGAUCAACAUUAAAAUGACGAGGGUAUAUUUGACCCUACAUAUUAAUGGAAGACAGAUUUAGCCCAUUUUACAAAGUUCAGGUAUAAAUUUAAACUUUUUUCCUUCAUUAGAUAUAAACUGAAUCAAAGAUAUAUAAGUAUACCAAAUUAUAUACUAUUUGUUAGAUGUAAGGCUAAAAUCAAAGGUAUUGAUGUGGAGCUUUAGAGUAACUGAUAAAGUUGUUGUCAUAUGAUUAGAAGAUCACAGUUUCAAGUCUUGAUAACAAUCCCUUGCAGAAAUGUGUGUUGAAGCUGUGUACAAUAGACUUUGCAGUCGGGCCCUUCCCCGACCUUGCGCAUAUAGUACUCCCUCUGUUUAAAAAGGAAUAAUAUACUUUGACGACACAAAAUUUAAGAAAAUAAAGAAGACUUCUGAAUCUUGUGGCCUUAAAUUAAAGUUGUGUUAAAUGUACCAAAAUAUCUUUUAAUCUUGUAGUCCUAACAUGUCAUGUGGAAAAUUGAAAUUAAAAUAUUGCCAAAAGGAAAGGUUAUUCUUUUUUAAACGAAUUAAAAAGAAAAGUAGUCAUUCUUUUUUAAACGGAGAAAGUAAUAAAUAGUAUACUUGACAAAAGCUCGAAAAUAAUACCGCUUCGUGCACGGGCUGCCUCUUUUAAAAUCAAAGGUAUACUGAUAUACUAAGCAUAUAUAUACUGUACUUGACAAAAGCUCGAAAAUAAUAACUCAAAGUUAAGUUUAAAACAACCUUACACAUGUUCAACAGACUUGGAUUUAAUUAAUGUAGUGGAGAAACAUACAUAACAGAAGUGUAAAAUUGGAGAACUCUAUAUAAGUAUCUCACAAAAUGUUACCUAUGGACAUAUAUCAAAGCUGAAAAUAUCAUCAAAUGACUAACAACAAGAUUGAUCACUGAGAUGCAUACUACUCAUUAGAAACAAAGCCAAAAUUGCUUAUUAUAUACCAGAAAGGGAUGAUGUUAUGGUUUUUUUAGUCUUUAUGGUUGGUGGUGAAGGGUGGAAAAAGGGAUCAUCUGUCCAAUUCUUUUCACCCCAAUGCUUCAGCAUACCCUUCCAAUUGCAUAACCUGUCUGUGCAUCUCUUGAGUCGUCGAUCAUUAAUCUUGAUUUUCCAAUGGCCAUCAGGAUAGUUUGCUUUCUUAGCUUCCCUUCUGUCCCAUUCCAAUUGUGCCUUUUGCUUUGAUCUUAGCAGGCAAAAGUCUUGCAGCUGCUCAGGCAUUGCGUCGUGCACUUUCCACCACUUGUGGUGUGCAACAUCACUCGCGAAUUCUUGUAAGAUGUCUACGUUCCAAUUGCAAUCAUAGUCCCGGAAACACAACCAUGGCUUGUAUCCUAG
rnacentral:lncRNA from 1 species